rnacentral:rRNA from 1 species
GAUGAACGCUGGCGGCGCGCCUAACACAUGCAAGUCGAACGGCACCCCUCUCCGGAGGGAAGCGAGUGGCGAACGGCUGAGUAACACGUGGAGAACCUGCCCCCUCCCCCGGGAUAGCCGCCCGAAAGGACGGGUAAUACCGGAUACCCCGGGGUGCCGCAUGGCACCCCGGCUAAAGCCCCGACGGGAGGGGAUGGCUCCGCGGCCCAUCAGGUAGACGGCGGGGUGACGGCCCACCGUGCCGACAACGGGUAGCCGGGUUGAGAGACCGACCGGCCAGAUUGGGACCGAGACACGGCCCAGACUCCUACGGGAGGCAGCAGUGAGGAAUCUUGCGCAAUGGGGGGAACCCUGACGCAGCGACGCCGCGUGCGGGACGGAGGCCUUCGGGUCGUAAACCGCUUUCAGCAGGGAAGAGUCAAGACUGUACCUGCAGAAGAAGCCCCGGCUAACUACGUGCCAGCAGCCGCAGUAA